CAUGGACUGGAAGCGAGGAGGGAGGAUAGGUGCUGAGUGAGCAGAGACAACAGCCACUGUGUCUUUCUCAAACAUCUUCAAGGUCCCUGCGGAGGAAUAAAUGGACAACAGGAGGUGCUUUCCCAGGAGAGACUCAUCUGGAGCUUUGUGGGGCUCCAGCGCGCGGUGACGAGGGCGGCCGGGCUCUUUGCACUCGCUGUUCCUUUUUCCUAUGCAUAUACCUCUUUGAGAUGUAACUUUAAAGAGGCAUAGGGCAUGGGAAAAUGGGGCUGCAGAGGUAUUCCACCGGGCAGACAGCCAUCAUUUCAUCAUCCUCUCUGCAUGACAGCUGGCCUCAAAGCUCACACACACACACACACACUGCAGGACCCAGCCUGCCAUGGUCUUACAGAGGAAGGCUGCAGGGUGUACAUUCUGACCACAGGAGAUUUUUGUGUCAGUGAUUCGUUUUUAUUUCAUAUCAUCACUCAGGUUUCAUCAUAUUCACUCAUGAUGACAUUGUGUGAGUGUGGAGAGAGGUGACAUUGUAAUACUGUUCAUUGGAAACGUCUGUUUGCCUCUGAUUCUAUUGUUUGCCGCUGCUUUUGAAUAAAGUUGUCUUGGUAUUAAAUACA